rnacentral:rRNA from 1 species
AUUGAACGCUGGCGGCAUGCUUUACACAUGCAAGUCGAACGGUAACAGGCCGCAAGGUGCUGACGAGUGGCGAACGGGUGAGUAAUGCAUCGGAACGUGCCCAGUCGUGGGGGAUAACUACUCGAAAGAGUAGCUAAUACCGCAUACGAUCUAUGGAUGAAAGCGGGGGACCGUAAGGCCUCGCGCGAUUGGAGCGGCCGAUGUCAGAUUAGGUAGUUGGUGGGGUAAAGGCUCACCAAGCCAACGAUCUGUAGCUGGUCUGAGAGGAGGACCAGCCACACUGGGACUGAGACACGGCCCAGACUCCUGCGGGAGGCAGCAGUGGGGAAUUUUGGACAAUGGGCGCAAGCCUGAUCCAGCAAUGCCGCGUGCAGGAAGAAGGCCUUCGGGUUGUAAACUGCUUUUGUACGGAACGAAACGGCUCUGGUUAAUACCCGGGGCUAAUGACGGUACCGUAAGAAUAAGCACCGGCUAACUACGUG